GUGCUAUAUCCUGGGAAGCCCUUCAGUCCUGGACAAACAGGGAUGGUUGGUGAUUCCAGUGAUGGUUCUCCAGCUAACAAGGGUGAUAAGAGAAGAAGCUAUAAGUUUAGGAAGAUAAUGAGUUUGAUUUAGAGCAUAUUGAAUUUGAAAUGCUGGUGGAUAUUCAGGGAAGGAUAUCAGCAGACACUUGGAAAUGGAGUCAAUAGCUUAGGAAUGGAAGGUCUUUGACACAGAGAGAAUAUAUUUAGGGGCCAUCAAUAUAAAUAGAGGUUAGUUAGGACCAUGAAACAGCUUAUAUCACCCAGGGGCAGAUUGUAGAGCAAAAUCAAUAAAACUCUGGAGAACGUAAUAUUGGCAGAGCCUCUGAAAUACUGAGGGGGGAACAGAGGAUGUAAUAAGUACAGACUAAACAUGGGGUCUGCAAAGCCAAGGGAGUACAGAGCAUCUCAAGGCAUGAACAGUCAUCAGGGUCAAAGGCAAGGGAGAUGUCCAGUACCACCAAGCAUGAAGACUGUGGCUCGACACUGGUAAAAUUAGCAGAAACCCUUGCAGAGCUUUGACAGGUAGAACGUAGGGUGCUCCUAGGGAGAAGGGAAUAUGAAUUGAAAAGUGGAGACAGUGAGAACAGCCUAAUCUGCUAAGAAGCUUAAGGAAAAGGGGACAAGAGAGAUAAAGCAAUGGCCAGAUGGCCAUGCAAGGUCAAGGGGGAGUUAUUUAAGAUGGGUGGGAACUGAACAAAUCUCAUGAACUAUGAAGGAAAAACUGGGAAAAGGAGGAGAAUUAAAGUUGUGGCAUCCAACAGAGGUAAUUGAAGGGUCAGGGCCCAUGGAGAGAUCAGAUGAUAUGAGAUGGACUCAAAGCCACAGAGGAAGAUUUUGGCCUUAAGUAAAGGGAGAGAAGAACAUAGCACACUCUGGAACUAUGGGAUGGAGUGCAGGUUAGAGUGAUGGAGAAGUGAAGGAGCCAUAACCAUGUGGAAAUGGGAAGACGUGAAACAGAGUGGCAGUUAAUGUCAGGGAGAGGAGAUGAAAAUGAGGAAAAAUUGAUGGAAACUAUGGACAGAUGAAGAGAGACCUCAGCCACGACUUUUAAGGGGAACAAUAAUAGCCUAAAGAUUCCAAGUACUUUAAGAUAACAAUGGACCUAGAGUUUUUUAAAAAGUUCAAGUAAAUAGGUAUUGCAGAAGUGGCUAACUGCAUGCUAUUUUUCAGAGGGUUAGAAAAUUACUCCCUUUAGGAUUAAAGGAUUUGAGUCAGAUUCAAGUAAGCUGUUAGCUCUGUCUCACACACAUACACACACAUGUGCAGCUGCACAUGUGCACACAUGGAUACACAUAGCUCUGAUAUGUAAACAAGAUAUUACCUACUUGAAUUACAAAAUAGGCAUUAAAAUGUGUGUUUUCAGACAUAGACUGAAGAGAAAUCUUUGCUAGGUAGGGGCAUUGAUACAGAAAGGCAGUGUAAAAGAAAAUGUUUCCAAUUAAACUUGUAUAUUCAGUUAGGAUGCAUUGAGAAAUCAUUCAAAGUCAUUCUGGAGACGCAUGCUUUGAAAGGAAAUUACCAAAGCCUACAAAGUAGGACUGUGCUCUGUGCCAGUUGGUGGGUGAAGCCAUAGCAGCAAGAUGUCUAUCAGCGAGGGUGAUACCCAGCCAGCAGUCAGCAGGGAGGCCUAGCACCCCUGUGAAUCACCCCUCACAGCCUAAUGUCUCUCCUGGCACGGGAAGUACAGAGGUAUUUCAUCAGCUCUGCUUAUUUUGGUCAACCACUAGGAGGAUGAAAAGGACUGACAUCUUCCUUACUCAGAGGCACAGAAAUUCCAAGACAGAGAAAAUUCCUGGCAGAGGCACUGAAAGAGUUGGGUUCUAAUCCCAACUCCUCCACUGCAGAGCUACCAAUCCUCCUGAGGCUGCCUCCUAAUUCAUGAGAUGAUGGCAUUGAUGGGCCAACCCUGGGGCCUGUUCCAAGACUCAGAUGUCACAGCCUGGGCAUCCUCACUUCCUAGGAAUUUUGGAUACAAAUUCUUCUUGAGCAGUUAGAGCUCAAAUUCAGAGUCUUUCAAAGCUGUGACUAUAGGACUGCCAAGGAGGGUCUUUGAAGUGAUAUGACUGCUUUCUAUAUUCUUUAUGAAGUUCUAGACAUUUUUAAAAAGUGAUCGCACCGAGUAAGGAUGCAUUCCAAUGCAGGACAUGUGUCACAGGAUGUGGAUAACAGGUUUAUGAUUAUUUAGUGAACUUGGGAAAGCCAAUAGCUGAUUCAUUCGGCUAAUCAUGCUACUAAAAGAAUCAGGAAUUAAAAAAAAAAUUAAACAAA